rnacentral:rRNA from 1 species
UUUUGAAGGGUAAAAAAACGUAACAAGGUCUCCGUUGGUGAACCAGCGGAGGGAUCAUUACCGAGUUUACAACUCCCAAACCCCUGUGAACAUACCUUAAUGUUGCCUCGGCGGAUCAGCCCGCGCCCCGUAAAACGGGACGGCCCGCCAGAGGACCCAAACUCUAAUGUUUCUUAUUGUAACUUCUGAGUAAAACAAACAAAUAAAUCAAAACUUUCAACAACGGAUCUCUUGGUUCUGGCAUCGAUGAAGAACGCAGCAAAAUGCGAUAAGUAAUGUGAAUUGCAGAAUUCAGUGAAUCAUCGAAUCUUUGAACGCACAUUGCGCCCGCUGGUAUUCCGGCGGGCAUGCCUGUUCGAGCGUCAUUUCAACCCUCAAGCCCCCGGGUUUGGUGUUGGGGAUCGGCUCUGCCCUUCUGGGCGGUGCCGCCCCCGAAAUACAUUGGCGGUCUCGCUGCAGCCUCCAUUGCGUAGUAGCUAACACCUCGCAACUGGAACGCGGCGCGGCCAUGCCGUAAAACCCCAACUUCUGAAUGUUGACCUCGGAUCAGGUAGGAAUACCCGCUGAACUUAAGCAUAUCAAAACGGGAAAGAAAAGUACUAA